rnacentral:rRNA from 1 species
UACAGGGGGUGCAAACGUUGCUCGGAAUCAUUGGGCGUAAAGCGCACGUAGGCGGUUACUUAAGUCGGAUGUGAAAGCCCUUGGCUCAACCGAGGAAGUGCAUCCGAAACUGAGUAGCUAGAGUACUAAAGAGGGUCGCGGAAUUCCCGGUGUAGAGGUGAAAUUCGUAGAUAUCGGGAGGAACACCGGUGGCGAAGGCGGCGACCUGGGUAGAGACUGACGCUGAGGUGCGAAAGCGUGGGGAGCAAACAGG